rnacentral:rRNA from 1 species
GAUGAACGCUGGCGGCGUGCCUAAUACAUGCAAGUCGAGCGAACAGACGAGGAGCUUGCUCCUCUGACGUUAGCGGCGGACGGGUGAGUAACACGUGGAUAACCUACCUAUAAGACUGGGAUAACUUCGGGAAACCGGCGCUAAUACCGGAUAAUAUCUUGCACCGCAUGGUUCAAUAGUGAAAGACGGUUUUGCUGUCACUUAUAGAUGGAUCCGCGCCGCAUUAGCUAGUUGGUAAGGUAACGGCUUACCAAGGCAACGAUGCGUAGCCGACCUGAGAGGGUGAUCGGCCACACUGGAACGGAGACACGGUCCAGACUCCUACGGGAGGCAGCAGUAGGGAAUCUUCCGCAAUGGGCGAAAGCCUGACGGAGCAACGCCGCGUGAGUGAUGAAGGUCUUCGGAUCGUAAAACUCUGUUAUUAGGGAAGAACAAAUGUGUAAGUAACUAUGCACGUCUUGACGGUACCUAAUCAGAAAGCCACGGCUAACUACGUG